UCAGACUCUUCGUUGGCCUCGUUUUUAGGUGUUUGAUCCGUGACGUUUCGUCGAAAAAUCACAAGCGCGCAUGCCGUAGGUGUUUGCCUGGUUGCAAGAUCUUGCCGAUUUCAACGUUUUUCCACCUCUUCGCACUUUCUUCUUUGGCUCCCCACCGCGCGCAGGUUGGCGUACGCUGAACUGGACCCUCGCAGCAAGAAUGGCACGUGGGAAUUGACACCGCGAUCGUGGAACACAUGGCUGAUCUGCCUCGAAUAACUGCAAGCCGGCGCGUGCGUAGUGCCGUGGAAAACGAUCAGAAGUCCUGGACGACAAAGAAAAAAACUUCAAAGGUUUGUUGUACAUGUUUUCCACGGCAACUGACAUAAACGUAAAAAAAAUUGGAAUGGUCAAAUGCAUGUGUCAAGUUUAACCAUUUGUAGUGGGCUGUGGACAUGAAUUAAGCAUUGCUGCACACAAGACUGGCUUGCCCUCAGUUUAUGCCCAGUACCAAAUUUUUUGCUCUCAUUAUGACACCAUUUGUAAGAAAAGCCAGAACUUAUGUUCAAAACAGCGCAUAUUCUUGCUAUUCUUUUAUUCAGUUGCACGUGUGAGUCCUGCUGCUGGCCAUCAGUUAGCCGGUUAUCAGAAGAAAAGGGCACAGCCCAGUUUUGU